rnacentral:misc_RNA from 1 species
AACGCACAUUGCGCCCUUCGGUAUUCCGUUGGGCAUGCCUGUUCGAGCGUCAUUUAAACCUUCAAGCAUAGCUUGGUGUUGGGUGCUUGUCCUCCCCCGCGGUGGACUCACCUCAAAUGCAUUGGCGGCCGGUAUGUUGGCUUCGAGCGCAGUACAACGCGCAAGGCGUCUUGACAUGCUGGUCCUCCACAAGACCUUCUUAAGCUUGACCUCGGAUCAGGUAGGGAUACCCGCUGAACUUAA